GAUCCUGUAGCUCAUGUGGGUGAGCGUCGCCUCUGGUUUGAGAGGUUGCUGGUUCGAUACCCAGCCAGGAUUC